AGAAUUUGAUCUUGGUUCAGGAUGAACGCUGGCGGCGUGCUUAACACAUGCAAGUCGAACGGAGUUUUUAACGGAAGUUUCGGAUGGAAGUUUAGAAACUUAGUGGCGGACGGGUGAGUAACGCGUGGGUAACCUGCCUCAUACAGGGGGAUAACAGUUAGAAAUGACUGCUAACACCGCAUAAUAUAGCGAAACCGCAUGAUUUUGCUAUCAAAUAUUUAUAGGUAUGAGAUGGGCCCGCGUCUGAUUAGCUAGUUGGUGGGGUAAAAGCCUACCAAGGCGACGAUCAGUAGCCGGCUUGAGAGAGUGACCGGCCACAUUGGGACUGAGACACGGCCCAAACUCCUACGGGAGGCAGCAGUGGGGAAUAUUGGACAAUGGGGGAAACCCUGAUCCAGCGAACCGCCGCGUGAGUGAAGAAGUAUUUCGGUAUGUAAAGCUCUAUCAGCAGGGAAGAUAAUGACAGUACCUGACUAAGAAGCCCCGGCUAACUACGUGCCAGCAGCCGC
rnacentral:rRNA from 1 species